GAUGAACGCUGGCGGCGUGCCUAACACAUGCAAGUCGAGCGGACGGACGAUAAGCUUGUUCCUUUGCCGUUAGCGGGUGACGGGUGAGUAACACGUGGAUCCCCUUCCUCUAUGUCUGGGAUAAUUUCGUGAGAACGGUGCUACUAACACAUCAUAUAUUGUACCGCUUGGUUCAAUAGUGAUACACGGCUUUGCUGUCUGUUAUAGCUGGAUCCGCGCUGGAUUAGCUAGUUGGUAAGGUCACGGCGUACCAAGGCGACGAUGCGUAGCCGACCUGAGAGGGUGAUCGGCCACACUGGAACUGAGCCACGGUCCAGACUCCUACGGGAGGCAGCAGUAGGGAAUCUUGCGCAAUGGGCGAAAGCCUGACGGAGCAACGCCGCGUGAGUGAUGAAGGCCUUCGGAUCGUAAAGCUCUGUUGUUGGGAAAGAACAGAAGUGGAAGAAAACAUGGACGUCUUGACGGUACCUAAUCAGAAAGCAACGGCUAACUACGUG
rnacentral:rRNA from 1 species